UUCCUACGGGGCGCAGCAGUGGGGGAUAUUGCACAAUGGGGGAAACCCUGAUGCAGCGACGCCGCGUGAGCGAUGAAGUAUUUCGGUAUGUAAAGCUCUAUCAGCAGGGAAGAAAAUGACGGUACCUGACUAAGAAGCCCCGGCUAACUACGUGCCAGCAGCCGCGGUAAUACGUAGGUGGCAAGCGUUAUCCGGAAUGAUUGGGCGUAAAGGGUGCGUAGGCGGCAAAAUAAGUCUGAAGUAAAAGGCGUUGGCUCAACCAACGUAAGCUUUGGAAACUGUUAAGCUAGCGUGCAGGAGAGGUU
rnacentral:rRNA from 1 species